rnacentral:rRNA from 1 species
CACGUAGGGCGCAAGCGUUGUCCGGAAUUAUUGGGCGUAAAGAGCUCGUAGGCGGUCUGUUGCGUCCGCUGUGAAAACUCGGGGCUUAACCCCGAGCCUGCAGUGGAUACGGGCAGACUAGAGGUAGGUAGGGGAGAAUGGAAUUCCCGGUGGAGCGGUGAAAUGCGCAGAUAUCAGGAGGAACACCCGUAGCGAAGGCGGCACUCUGGGCCGAUUCUGACACUGAGGAGCGAAAGCGUGGGGAGCGAACAGG